CUAACGCUACGAUGCGGAGGGCCCACUCGGGAACAAAACCCAGAGCCACGUUGCGAUUGUGACGCUCCACGGGCAAGGCACGAUCAGAGUCCCUCCCUGGGUGAUGGCGCUUGAGGGAGUUUCGCAAUGUGCGCGUGAGUGCCAGGAAAUGGAAGAAAAUCCUGAACGAGGUAGCACACGUGGAACCAAUAAUCGUGGUGUACGAAGGGACAAUGAUGCUACUACCCCCACCAACCAUUGCCUCCACCAACCAAUCUCCAACACCGCCACCACCACCACCACCGUCACCAUCACCCAAUCUCUGCCACCAUUGACACCACCAGCACUGUCACCACCACCACGACCAUCACUCGACCUCCACCACCGUCACCACCACUACCAAUCUCUGCCACCACCAUCACCGUCGCUCCUCUUUCAACCACCUCCAAACCUAUCAUCAUUGACACUGAGCACCGAGGCAUGAAUGGGGUGAAAUGACUAUACACCUCCGAAGAGCAUGGUUGGCUACGUACGGUGCGAAAGAAGUCCCACAUACAGGGAUAUACACCCACGCCGCGAUCAGAGCGCCUCACCUCGGGUCGACAGCGAUGUGGGUCAGAGGUCAACAGCUAGAGAGUCAUUCAGCAUCGCGUCUUUAAUUGAACAACUUGUGGUUUUACAUUCUUCAACAUUUUUAUUUUUAAAGAUCGUGCCAUGUUGUGCUGUGGGUGUGAUCACGUGGCUGUCGGUUGUUUGACGGUCAUUAACUCAUUUGCCCGCAAUUGACGCGUUCCCUUCUCUUGGCUGCGUUGAAGUGCAACUUGGUGGCAUCACGCCGACCGGAGUGCGUGUGGUCACCUCCCGUGAUGGAUUUGUUGAGGACGAGGGCGUCACUGGCCUUCUGCGGUAUUUGCUUGUUAGGGUCAAGUCGAUUCCGGUUCCAAAGGUCACCAUCGAAGCACAGUGAGAGAUAGCCGCGGCGAAGGGAGAGCAUUCGUUCAGCGGUGGACCGAUCAUGGCUGCUCCUGCUGCUGAUCAACUUACGUAUUGUUUAAUUGUUGAAACAUGUGGCUAUUAUUGUACCGUUGUGCUCUCCGUUUUACACUACGCCACGUGUAAAGCAUUAGCUGAGUAAAUACUUGAAACAUUACUUAGUGUCAAAAGAUUGAAUAGAAACAGGCUGUGUAUAUACCGCACUCUAAAUGUAUUUUCCUUACAAUUAAUGCUAAUGCGUUCAACAAGUGCGAGUACGAAUUUCAGCGUCGAGCAGAGAGUGCAGAGUUUCAGUGUAGAGGACGAUGCGUAUAGUAACAAUGAAGUGCUCUUCUUCUUGGUUAUUUCGGUAAAGUCACGUAGAAUGGAAAUAAUAAAAUAAUAACAAUAAAACAUUAUAAAAUCAUUCUCACGACGUUUCGGUCACAACGCAAGCAGCCGUCCUCAGGUGAAGAACAGGUCUGUCGAGAAGACAGAGUCUGAAUGACACACCCCAGGCUUGGAGCGUCUAUUUACUGAAAGAACCAAGAAGAUGAAUCCCUGCAGUCACAAAAGCUUUAACUCGAAGUGCACUUCCUUUGUGCAAGCCAUCGUGGGGUGAAGGCUUCCCCACGCUGUGCCAGUCGUGUUAGUUUCCCUUUCGCCCGGACUCCACCACGCCAGUCCGUGCAGGUUCAUGAAGGGGGGGAAUGGAGGCGUUGCCGUCAGGUCCGGUUCAGAUGUGGCUCGCCACUGAUGUGAGCCGCGUCCGGUAGCCGAACUCAGGUGGCCAGAUUCAUAGCGCAGCUGAGCGACCCGCCGCUGCGUCACCACCACCGCCACCACCACCAACCACCACUACCACCAACCACCACUACCACAACCACCGCCACUAACACCACCAACCACCACAAACCCCAACAACCACCGCCACUACCACCACCAACCACCACCACUACCACCACCAACCACCAUCAACCACCACUACUACCACCACCAACCGCCACCACUACCACCACCAACCACCGCCAUUACCACCACCAACCGCCACCACUACCACCACCAACCACCACCACCACCACCCUACCAUCUCCACUCCACCAAUCAAGCGUUCUUCUUUAAACUCGUACGACCACGGAGCUCCAAUUCACAUCUUACCGGGGGGCACUACAAAUGCUCUAUUGAUUGUCUGUGCUCAUUUUCCUUUGAGCGAUCUGCCUGCAAUUCUCCUUCAAAGAAACACCCCCUCACCCACCCACUCCCCCAUUACAAUUGCUGACGUGUUUCAAAGGCAUCGCCGGUUCCCACCCUGCCCCCCUCGCACUUAGUUUCCUCGGCUCUCCUCCUCCACCCCCCAAACCACCCCGACGAAGGGCGAUUUGGCUCACAUUUGUUAAUAAUUAGACAGAACGAACUCAGGGGGGGCUUUACGCAAUGACACAGUCCAAACAGAAGAAUGCACGCUUCGAAAACAAGCUCAUCUGCUUGCCCUUAAAGAAGGCCGCUUCGAGUGUAAACUUGGAACGGAGUUGGGGCGACAACGCGGUGAUAUGCCCAGUAGGCGCGGGUCAGAACGUUUCCACAACAACACAUACACACGAUCGGAGUGCAAGAAACGACCUGGCCGCAAAUGAUAGCUCAACGAAGUUGGAUUAUCGUGUUGUUUUCAUCAAGCACAGCAGGUGCAGCCUCGCGUGCAUUGCACACCCGGUGCCUGCGGCCGGCCACAACACGGACGUUGCGUGGCCCUGACGCUCGCUCGCGAUCUCAAGUUCAAGUUCAUGUAUCAGGUAUAGGCCUGUGAGCCGUUCAGCUCUUGAAUCGGGUGCAACCGCAACAAACAAAAAACAUAAACAUGAACAAAAAACAUCUUAAAGUGAAUAUGUGACUAAGUGCAAACAGAAAAUCCAAGAAAAGACAGCAAAAUAUUGCAGAAAAAAAACACCGUACACCAACGCUGUGUGCAAAAAUCCCACACGUGUUUCUAGCCUCGAUCCUUUCGAUCCCGUACACACUGUGCCCAGCCGCCACCACCAACCACAUCAACCGGAGGUCACAACACUCCUAUCCCCUCUUCUUUGUUCGCACUGCUCCCACUUUUCGAAGGUCCCUCCCAUCGUCUCUUAUUCCAAUUUCUUUUGUGUAACCCUCGCUCGAAUUCAAGAAACGUUUGAAAACUCUU